rnacentral:tRNA from 14 species
AACGUGGCUCAGAUGGUAGAGCGUGUCUACCUUGAUCCGGGGUCAUGGGUUCAAAUCCUGGU